rnacentral:misc_RNA from 1 species
CCUGGUUCGUUCCUCUAUCUUCAUCACCUCCUUCAACCCCCACAUAUUCAUUGCCCAAAAUUUUCUGCUCUGAGGGCAAAUUCUUGUUAGCUUUCUUGCUCCCUUCAACUUUCCAAAGAUCCCACACCCGGGUCUUUGGUGGAGGUGAAGCAUCUGCAAGAGGUGCAACCAGUCCUGGCUUUCCAUCAUCGAUAACUGAAUCUACCAACCCAUAUUCUUUAGCUUCCCAAGCACUCAUGAAAUUAUCACGAUCAGUGUCAACU